rnacentral:rRNA from 1 species
AUGGCGGUUCGACCCGCAAUGUUGUAUGGCACGGAGUGUUGGCCGACUAAAAGGCGACAUGUUCAACAGUUAGGUGUGGCGGAGAUGCGUAUGUUGAGAUGGAUGUGUGGCCACACGAGGAAGGAUCGAGUCCGGAAUGAUGAUAUACGAGAUAGAGUUGGGGUAGCACCAAUUGAGGAGAAGCUUGUCCAACAUCGUUUGAGAUGGUUUGGGCAUAUUCAGCGCAGGCCUCCAGAAGCUCCAAGUCGUGUCAGGUCUGGUUCAUCUGGGUGA